UUAAAAAAAAAAAAAAAAAAAAAAAAAAAAA
rnacentral:ribozyme from 1 species